rnacentral:rRNA from 1 species
AUUGAACGCUAGCGGGAUGCCUUACACAUGCAAGUCGAACGGAGUGGCGAACGGGUGAGUAAUGUAUCGGAACGUGCCCAGUAGCGGGGGAUAACUACGCGAAGGGGAAGCUAUUACCGCAUACUUUUGAGGCGCCCGAUAUCGGAUUGGCGAGUUGGUGGGGUAACGGCUCACAAAGGCGACGAUCCGUAGCUGGUUCGAGAGGACGACCAGCCAAACUGGGACUGAGACACGGCCCAGACUCCUACGGGAGGCAGCAGUGGGGAAUUUUGGACAAUGGGGGAAACCCUGAUCCAGCCAGCCCGCGUGUGCGAUGAAGGCCUUCGGGUUGUAAAGCACUGUUGGCAGGAAAGCGGUACCUGCAGAAUAAGCACCGGCUAACUACGUGCCAGCCGCCGCGGUAAUUC